GGCUCAGGAUGAACGCUGGCGGCGUGCUUAACACAUGCAAGUCGAACGAAGCUCCUAAUCUUGCGUUUCGGACAAGAGAGAGGGAUGACUUAGUGGCGGACGGGUGAGUAAUGCGUGUGCAACCUGCCCUCAGAGGGGGACAACAGUUAGGAAACGACUGCUAAUACCGCAUAAUGUAUCGAGAAGGCAUCUUCAUGAUACCAAAGAUUUAUCGCUGAAGGAUGGGCUCACGUCUGAUUAGCUAGUUGGUGAGGUAAUGGCUCACCAAGGCUGCGAUCAGUAGCCGGACUGAGAGGUUGACCGGCCACAUUGGGACUGAGAUACGGCCCAGACUCCGUACGGGAGGCAGCAGGUGGGGAAUUAGUUGGGCAAGUGGGCGCAAGCCCUCGACCCAGCAACGCCGCGUAGGAAGGAAGGAAGGUCGUUUCGGGUUAGUUAAACUUUCUUUUGGCGAGGGAACGAAGAAAGUGACGGUACCUGCAGAAUAAGCUCCGGCUAACUACGUGCCAGCAGCGGC
rnacentral:rRNA from 1 species